CUUAUGUAUUUUUAAAGCACUCGGGUAAUCCCAGAGCUCCGUCCUGUUCAUCUGAACCAGAGAAGUGCUGCGGAGGAGGAGGAGGAGGAGACCCCUUUCCCAGCUCUUCCCUGAUCCCACGAUGGGAUUUCAGCCGGCUGUGCCAGGCGGACCCAGCUGCGGAGCCGACACAGGAGGCUCCCGGGGUGGCUCAGCACGGCUCGGCACGGCUCAGCACAGCUCAGCAUGGCCCAGCACGGCUCAGCACUGCUCGGCUCACCCCCCCAGGCCAGCCCGGGGGGCGAGCCGGGUCCUGAGUGCCCCCCCAGCCCCGCCGCUCUCCGCGGUGCUGAACCGCAGCGGGGUUUGCGGGGGGGUGGGGGUGGGGGGCGGCCCCUGCGCCCCCUUCCCGAGAGGAGGUGGGCACCCCAGGGCGGGGGCCGGGCUGGGGGCAGGCCCCCCAAACCUCCCCCCGGCCCUCCCUGCCUCCCGCAGCCGCUUGGUCAAAGGAUGGGGCCCGGCGCUGCCUGGCUCCGGAGGGGGAUUUUCUGUCUGAGCAUGAAAAGGACUGCUAGACACCCAGGAUUUUCACGCCUGCAUUGCCGACCCAGCACCCAGUAUGCAAGCUGGCCAGAGAAGCUCUCCCACAAGUUCCUACCGAGCCGAAUAAAACCCACGGGCGCCCGGAUCUCCUCCAGAGAGGGACAUUAGCAGCAGGUAAGGCGAGCGCUGCGCUGCGGCUGCAGGGAUGCCCCGGCCCCCAGCGGGCUCCCCCCGUUGUGUAACGCCCGUGGCACCUCUCCCCCAGCCCCGCACCCUUUUGUGUCCCCCCCCUGCCGGCUCGGGGAACACGGAGUUCCCGGGGGGGGGGGGACACCGGCUGGGAGAAGUCCUGCAGCCCGGUUGGUGAUGGGGUGUGCAUGAGGAUGAGCUUGGCCGGCACUGGGAGGACUGGGAGGGCUGGAGAAGGUUGAGGCCCCUUGGAGGAUGCUGGCGGUGGGGGCUCAGCGGCUGGUUGAGCUGGGGGUGGGAUGCAGCCAGGCUCCAUCUGUAUUCCGGAGUAUCGAGACAGCCCGGAGCGGGGGGGGGGGACCGUCCCCAAGGAGAUGGUGUCAUCUCCACUUAAUCCGCCGCUCCGCUUUAGCAAGUGACAAGCAAAUCGCGGAGGAAAAGGAAAGUCUGUCGCCUUGAAUCCCACACUGGGCUGAUUGCCUCGACUUCUGGUGGGCACGGGGAGACAGCGGCAGAGCCGGGGGAGGGCAGCGAUGGUGGGGGGGGACGCAUCCCACAGCGCAGGAGCCUGGUUUCCCCCAGCUCGGCUCUCAGCGCUGCUUGUGAGGCUGCUGCCGAGCGUAACUUUGCCUUUUGCAGCCCAUGGGGAAUAGGGGGAUGCAGGGCAUCUCCACGCCAUUGCAUCAACCCUGAGGUCUGGCACAGUCCAGGUCUAAAGACACAGCAAUGACCCAAAGAGAGGUGGGUGUAGGUGUGAGUGUGUGUUUUGGCUUCGGAGAGUCCCUCCGUGCUUCUGCUUGGGAG
rnacentral:lncRNA from 1 species